rnacentral:rRNA from 2 species
AUGGGAGAGUUUGAUCCUGGCUCAGGACGAACGCUGGCGGCGUGCCUAAUACAUGCAAGUAGAACGCUGAAGAGAGGAGCUUGCUCUUCUUGGAUGAGUUGCGAACGGGUGAGUAACGCGUAGGUAACCUGCCUUGUAGCGGGGGAUAACUAUUGGAAACGAUAGCUAAUACCGCAUAACAAUAGGUGACACAUGUCAUUUAUUUGAAAGGGGCAAUUGCUCCACUACAAGAUGGACCUGCGUUGUAUUAGCUAGUAGGUGAGGUAACGGCUCACCUAGGCGACGAUACAUAGCCGACCUGAGAGGGUGAUCGGCCACACUGGGACUGAGACACGGCCCAGACUCCUACGGGAGGCAGCAGUAGGGAAUCUUCGGCAAUGGGGGCAACCCUGACCGAGCAACGCCGCGUGAGUGAAGAAGGUUUUCGGAUCGUAAAGCUCUGUUGUAAGUCAAGAACGAGUGUGAGAGUGGAAAGUUCACACUGUGACGGUAGCUUACCAGAAGGGACGGCUAACUACGUGCCAGCAGCCGCGGUAAUACGUAGGUCCCGAGCGUUGUCCGGAUUUAUUGGGCGUAAAGCGAGCGCAGGCGGUUUGAUAAGUCUGAAGUUAAAGGCUGUGGCUCAACCAUAGUUCGCUUUGGAAACUGUCAAACUUGAGUGCAGAAGGGGAGAGUGGAAUUCCAUGUGUAGCGGUGAAAUGCGUAGAUAUAUGGAGGAACACCGGUGGCGAAAGCGGCUCUCUGGUCUGUAACUGACGCUGAGGCUCGAAAGCGUGGGGAGCGAACAGGAUUAGAUACCCUGGUAGUCCACGCCGUAAACGAUGAGUGCUAGGUGUUGGAUCCUUUCCGGGAUUCAGUGCCGCAGCUAACGCAUUAAGCACUCCGCCUGGGGAGUACGACCGCAAGGUUGAAACUCAAAGGAAUUGACGGGGGCCCGCACAAGCGGUGGAGCAUGUGGUUUAAUUCGAAGCAACGCGAAGAACCUUACCAGGUCUUGACAUCCCGAUGCUAUUUCUAGAGAUAGAAAGUUACUUCGGUACAUCGGUGACAGGUGGUGCAUGGUUGUCGUCAGCUCGUGUCGUGAGAUGUUGGGUUAAGUCCCGCAACGAGCGCAACCCCUAUUGUUAGUUGCCAUCAUUCAGUUGGGCACUCUAGCGAGACUGCCGGUAAUAAACCGGAGGAAGGUGGGGAUGACGUCAAAUCAUCAUGCCCCUUAUGACCUGGGCUACACACGUGCUACAAUGGUUGGUACAACGAGUUGCGAGUCGGUGACGGCAAGCUAAUCUCUUAAAGCCAAUCUCAGUUCGGAUUGUAGGCUGCAACUCGCCUACAUGAAGUCGGAAUCGCUAGUAAUCGCGGAUCAGCACGCCGCGGUGAAUACGUUCCCGGGCCUUGUACACACCGCCCGUCACACCACGAGAGUUUGUAACACCCGAAGUCGGUGAGGUAACCUUUUGGAGCCAGCCGCCUAAGGUGGGAUAGAUGAUUGGGGUGAAGUCGUAACAAGGUAGCCGUAUCGGAAGGUGCGGCUGGAUCAC